rnacentral:rRNA from 1 species
UACGGAGGGUGCAAACGUUGCUCGGAAUCAUUGGGCGUAAAGCGCACGUAGGCGGUCCAGCAAGUCGGGUGUGAAAGCCCUCGGCUUAACCGAGGAAGUGCAUUCGAAACUACUGGACUUGAAUACUGGAGAGGAUCGCGGAAUUCCCGGUGUAGAGGUGAAAUGCGUAGAUAUCGAGAGGAACACCUGCGGCGAAGGCGGGUUGCUGGGCUGACACUGACGCUGAUGCGCGAAAGCUAGGGGAGCGAACGGG